AACCUUGCCAUCCACGGAGGACUGUCCCAGUUUAUUUAGUUUGGAAAACAAUGGAAAGUAGAUGACGGAGAAUGGAACAUCCCUUAAUAUUGUUGCACCCAGUCCUCUGUAAAGUCCUUUAACACCUUCAUUACG